CAGUCUUGUCUUCUUGUAGCUCAUGUGUGGGAGGGAAGCCUCCUCAAAUCGCACCCCCCCAUUAUGAUUUCCUGAUGACUAAGAAGGCACAUCUCUUGUACAUGGUUCUUUGGGUCUUUUUUGUCCCCUAAGCUUUUAGUGCCUGCCACAUUCCCUCCUUGGCUUUUCACUGGUCUGCACAAGCUCUCAUUAAUACAGAAACCUGCUAGCAAAGGCAGGAACCACCGCAGUUGGAGACGAUUUUGAGAGAAGUAAGCAUAGUCAAGGUUUCAUUCCAUCUGAUUUUUAUGUAGUUUAAAAUCAUGAUAUUCUUGUGACAGUCAGGUGCUUAGAGUUGGGGGAGGGGUGGCUUGCAAUUGGCCAAUAAUGCAUGGAAGAAAAACAACAAGAUAUAAAUGCAAGAGAAGACAUCAAAAAGAGGGAUAGAUAAUGUGAAAAAGGAAACUGGAACAUCAUCUUGCAUUUCUUUUUUGCAAAAACUGAGCUCGAGCAGGGAAGAAACUUUACUCUGGAAACCUCACAGCUUGUCUUGCAAUUAUACUAACAGAAAGGAACAGUACAUUGGUAGGAUAAAAAGCAUGAGGCAUGCAGUUUCCAGGCUUGUCAAGAAAAACAGUGGCAUGGCUUCUGAUAUCAGAGGGACUUUCCUUUCAGCUUUGUGCCUAAACCGAAAUAUUGCCUGAAGCUUGCUGCAGAAGAGACGUCCCAAAUUCUCAAGUCCAGCUACAGUAAGCAAGUCUUUCUUACUAGACAAUCAAGUUGCUGAACAAAGACACAAGAAAGGCCACCAACAUCUUCAGUGGAGUGACAAACCUAGACACUGCAGCUGCAAGAGUACACAGAAGAUUUGCUUUUGGCUUGAGAGUUUCAGAGACAGCCUCAUCACAGCUUUUACAGUAUCUUGACGGCAACAUUUGGGAUUUGCAUUUUUCUUCGCAACAAAGACUCAUUUACAUCCAUUUAGGAUUGAUAUUUUACUGGACAUAAU